rnacentral:rRNA from 1 species
AGUGAACGCUGGCGGUAUGCCUAACACAUGCAAGUCGAACGGCAGCACAGUAAGAGCUUGCUCUUACGGGUGGCGGGUGGCGGACGGGUGAGGAAUACAUCGGAAUCUACUUUUUCGUGGGGGAUAACGUGGGGAAACUUACGCUAAUACCGCAUACGACCUACGGGUGAACGCAGGGGAUCUUCUGACCUUGCGCGAUUGAAUGAGCCGAUGUCGGAUUAGCUAGUUGGCGGGGUAAAGGCCCACCAAGGCGACGAUCCGUAGCUGGUCUGAGAGGAUGACCAGCCACACUGGAACUGAGACACGGUCCAGACUCCUACGGGAGGCAGCAGUGGGGAAUAUUGGACAAUGGGCGCAAGCCUGAUCCAGCCAUACCGCGUGGGUGAAGAAGGCCUUCGGGUUGUAAAGCCCUUUUGUUGGGAAAGAAAAGCAGCAGGUUAAUACCCCGCUGUAAUGACGGUACCCAAAGAAUAAGCACCGGCUAACUUCGUG